rnacentral:rRNA from 1 species
GAUGAACGCGGCGGCGUGCGUAACACAUGCAAGUUGGACGACGGUGCCAUGAAGUGGUAACGCGGAGUGGUAUACGGAGUAGCGGACGGGUGAGUACAACAUGAGAAGCUGUCCUUCAGAGGGGGGCAACGUCUGGAAGCGGACGCUAAUACCCCAUAGGCCGAGAGGUUAAAGCAGCAAUGCGCUGGAGGAGGUGCUCGUGCCCUAUCAGCUAGUUGGUGAGGUAACGGCUCACCAAGGCGACGACGGGUAGCCGGCCUGAGAGGGUGAACGGCCACACUGGAACUGAGAUACGGUCCAGACUCCUACGGGAGGCAGCAGUGGGGAAUAUUGGGCGGUGGGAGGAAUCCUGACCCAGCGAACGCCGCGUGAAACGAUGAAGGCCUUAAG